UGGCAGUUUGAACUCGGGCUGCUGGUGGGUGGAGGGCCGGCUGGGCUGGAAGGCGCUUCUCCUGCCCCUUCCACGCAGGCAAACUGCUGACCGCGGCAAAGCCACGUGGCCCUGCUCUGGGGAAAUCUGCCUUGGUUUGGGGUUUAAUUUUUUUUAAUGGCUACUUAGGUUUGGUUUCGUCUGGGGUUUGGCAAGCACGCGAGGUUUGCUCUCGGCGGCGGCGGCCGCAGUGGUUCUGGUCCGGCCGGGCGAGCAGCGAGCAGGGCGUUAGGACCCGGCUGCGCGCCCCGCACCCCGCGCGUCCCGGGUCCCCAGCCGCGCCGAGAGGCGUGAACGAGAGGCUGGCAGGGGGACGCGGACGGCGCGCUCACUGUGGAAUGGCUCUGUCGUUGCCAGGCAACCGUCCUGACGCAACGAAAAAAAAAAAAAAGAAGUCCCUUAAAACAGAAUAGUGCUGAGAAUUCGCGGGAGCGCGAGAGCCGGGAGGCAGAAGCCCGAGGCCGGCCGCGUCGGGAGGAGGCGGGGACCUCAGCGGCCCCCCUGGAAGGGCCUCCGCGAGCCCCCGAAGGUGUGGAAACAGAAGCUUUGAAUAACAAGUUGAGGUGCAGCCAUUAGCCCCGGACAUCCAAACCAGGCCUCACGGGAGACACACCAGGGGAACGGCCUGACCCAUGCCUCCUGUGUCUGCAAGUCCACAGUCAGGGCAGGUGUCUUGAAGACAGGUGGGGAAGCUGCCGUUGCAGGAAGCCCAGGUCCUGUCUGCAUCUCUGAGCCUAUGUGACCAGCUCAGACUUGGGCAAACACAGGCUGGAUGGGGUUAGAGGUGAGGGCAGCGGGGCCUGGGGGGUCCCUCAUUCAUGCCACAAAUGUUUAAAACAGAAGUAUGGUGUUAAGUGUUGGGGGUUCCAGGGUCCAAAGCCCGGUUCCCAGCCUCACACAGAGCAUAAAAGAGAACAUCAAGGAAGUGUCUGGUAAAAAUGGUCUGGCGUGAGAGGCCAGUACCCCACUGGCUAUGAGCCAGCCUGGAACUGGGCUGCAGGGGUGCACAUCCCAGCUUCACCUUUGUUAGUUCCUUGACGUCAGGCAAGCUACUCAACGUCUGUGUGCCUCAGUCUCCUUCUGUGCGUAAUGGAGCAAUGCCAUUCCUUGCCUUGCAGGGCCGUCAUGAGGAUUAAAUGUAUUAGUCCCUAUACAGCUCCUAGAACAAUGCUUGGCCUGGGUGCCCUGAGUCAGCAUUAGUUAACAUUCUUGCAAUGACAUAAUUGUUUUCCCCAUGGACUCUGGUUGCAUACCGGACACACACAGCUUGGGCAAGUAAAGGAAAACUUCCUGAAGGAGAAAAUCCCUGGGAACUGAGGCGUAGAAGGGAGGGAGCCAGGCUAAGGGAUCAUCUUGUGCAAAGUCACCAGGGCAGGAGAGAGUGUGGUUUCAGUGGGUGGAGAGUGUUGGAAAGAUUGUGUAUUCUGGAAAAGGAAUGAAGUGGUUCUAGUAAAGAACCCUGGGCUAGAAGCUACAGGCAUGGGCCUGUGAAUCCAGAGGGGGAGGAUGGCUUUUGAGAUCCUUAGGAGAAGGAGGGCGAUAGGGAGGGAGACAUGCUGCCGGGGAAUGGCCUCAUAGGACCUGAACCCCUGUGAGAGAGAAGGGAGAGAGGGUGAGCACGGGUCAGCAGCUGCCUGCAUCCUUCCCGCCUUCAGAGCCCAUCUAGGAAGUGGGUUUGAAAGCUAUCCAAGCAAACAGAUUAGGUCAUAAUGCCACAAGGUAUUGGCUGAAAGACUGAGCUGCACCCACCUGGCUCCCCGCAGCCAGAGGAAUUAGCUCAUGGCUGCACAGCUUCUUUACGUCAGCCGCCAUGGGCCGCAGCCAGCCGGGAGCGUGUUUGAACAGCAGUCCCCGUGUGCAGCGGUUCCACAGGGAACUGGCUCGUACCUACUGCAAAGGGCUGACGCGCCCCUGGGCUUUGCCCUCUGCUGCAGGAAUUUUGUGUUGCCCUGCCGCGCGGUGGCCUGCCUGGCAGGGCACGCCUGGGCCUGGUGGGAUUAUUCUCUGGCUUUGUUUUUCUGGUUGCCCUGUGUCCCAGGCCUGUCAGCAGCCUUUGGCUUCCCUCUUCAGCCUCUCUGCCUUUGCAAAGCCCAAAGAGGAAAUGUGCUCCCUGGCAGCAGGAGUUAGGAUUGGAUGUAAAGAACGCCUGUUUGCCCAGGUGGAGGAGGGCUCUUCCUCCCAGGACCUGCACCCUGAUGUCCCUGCUGUGUCCCUGCUGCCCUUCCAGCCCAGGAGACUGUUCAAUGCUGGCCCGUGCUGCCCUGCACCCAGCUGGCCCCUCUCUGCCAGCUCAGGCUGGGUCCAGCUCACUGCCCACUAAGUGAGCAUCCCUGGAGUGACCUGCAUGUGUAACCUUCCAGCUCAGCUCCCAGGCCCAGCUGGAGGGGAGGGGAGAACCCCACGGGGGGUUGGGGGAGGGUGCUCUUGGGCACCAGAGCAUCCAGACAGGCAGCACUCCCUGGAACACUGAUGUGGGGGAACAGAUCCUGUUUCAGCAGAUCUUCACCAACCAGGUGCGCUGGGGGCAAUCUCAGGUGCCAGCCCUGCCUGCUGCAUGUGACCAUGCUUCCCAAAGUAGCUGGUCCCUGACCCAGGCCUCUCCAUGCCCCGCACAUGCCUUGGUAACUUAGAUUACCCUCAGGUGGGUAAAGCUCUUUACAGUUGGCAGACAGUUUUCAUGUAUAAGAGUCCAGCUGGUCUUCACAGCCUCUUUGGGGAGGAAGAUGAGGUGGGAAGUACCAUUCCUCAGAUUAGGAAACUGAGGCCAGAAGGAGUGGGCUGAGCCCUGGCACUCAGCUUGUUGGUAGCAGAUGGGGGCUGAAACUGGGCAUUGGGCCUGGCCCUCACUCUCACCGUGUA